CAAAAAAUGUGAAGUGGUCCUAGUCUCAUAACUACUGUAUGUAUAAACGUUGAGUACUGUGACAAAAGAACUAUUCAGUUAUACUCAUCUAAUCAUAAGUCCUUGUUUAAAAAUGUGAAGGGGUGGUCAUAGUGUAAGUUUGUAUGUAACUUUGUGCUUGCUCUCUUUUGGUAAAAAUUUAUUAAUAGAGUUGUUUGCUUUAAGCUUUGGCAGAACUGAAAAAAUGACAACUGCAAAUUUUGAAAGGAAAUAACUAUUUUUGAAACUGUACACCAAGACAAAACAAUAGGACUGUUGGUAAUAUUUCCAGACCGAACAUAGAAGCGGUUCUUCAUGGUUUAACCAGUUGGACCAGAUGAAAAAUUGCUGAAUGCAUUGGAUUGCAAUUGCAGUUCUACAAGGAAGAGGAUAAAAACAUCGUCUCCGAUCUUACUAAUCUUUCAUUAGAGAUCAAAACCGGCAGACCAGGAGGAAGAAAAAUGCGUAUAAAGUUGUUAGUUUUGUCUCCUUUCCCCAAGUUUGUCGGAGAAAAAAAAAAAAAAAAAAAAAAAAAAAAAGUUUGUCGGAGAAUGUUAAAUUAAUUUAAACCUAACAUCAUUACUAAUAUAAACCGGAACAAUCCGAUCGGUUAGUAAUUCGAACCGGUAGCCUUGAAGAAAAAGCCUGGUUCUUGACAUUUUAGAGUUCCUGCAACGGUUCUUCUCAGUGAUUAAUUUUUUACCGGAAGCCCCAUCUCCGUGAAUCAAACAAAGAUUUAUUUUCACUGUGACAAUCACAAAUCUAACAGAAGGUAAUCCCUUUAUUAUUUGUCCCAAGCAAAGAUAAAGAGUGUGUUUGGUGAGGGCAAUUUCACGCAGCAGCCGUCAAUUUGAAGUCUGGUAAUAGAAUCUAUGAAAGAGAUCUUUAGUGACACCGGAUCCAAACAGUUAACACAAAUGUUCCUAGCGAUCAUCUUCUUCCACACAUCGGAAUACAUUCUCGCCUUAGCCAUCCACGGAGCAUCGAGAGUUACUCUAAGCUCACUUCUGAUCACCAAACACUAUGCUUUCGCAAUGCUAAUCUCGAUCCUCGAGUACCUAAUCGAGAUCACUCUGUUUCCGAACCUGAAACAACGCUGGUGGAUCAGCAACUCUGGUCUUAUAAUGGUCAUUCUCGGUGAGAUCAUCCGCAAAACCGCGAUAAUCACAGCAGGCAGAUCCUUCACACACCUUAUAAAGAUUCGAAGGAAGGAGCAUCACAGGCUUGUGACGCGAGGAGUGUAUCGAAUCGCGAGGCAUCCGAGUUACGCAGGGUUUCUGGUUUGGUCUGUUGGAACGCAGGUGAUGCUGUGUAAUCCUGUUUCCGCGGUUGCGUUUGCGGUUGUGGUGUGGCGGUUCUUUGCAGAGAGAGUACCUUACGAGGAGCAUUACUUGAAGCAGUUUUUUGGGAGACAGUAUGUGGAGUAUGCGCAGAGAGUUCCUUCCGGUGUUCCUUUCGUAAACUGAACCAUGUUAUGAACUAGACAAGUUUGGUUAAUCUUUUUCUGCUAAGAAAUCGUGGAAGACUCUGACUAGGCUAGAGGAUAAUCAGUUUUGAUUUAAUCACGGAAGACUCUGACUAAACUAGAGGGUUAUCAAUUUUCGGCUAUGUCGAGUUUUGUUGAUUCAAUCUUAACUAGUUCCUAUGAUAUUCUUUUUGUUUUUCCAUCGUUCUGUAUAUAUCUCAAGUUUCUUGUGCAGAGACCUUUAGAGUUGAUUGAGAUUUGCAAAUGUAUAUGAAUUUAUUAAUCUGAUCUUGUCUACAAUGAAAAAAGAAAAAUUUAGUUU